UCAAGUUCUCAGCCCAACCGUGAUUUAUUUUCCCUUACAGAGUUCUUAUGCCCAUGAGGAUGACCUAUGAAUCCCAGAAAGAUACAGAAUUGAGAAUCACCAGACAACUCUGUUCCAGGAAUCAAGUGAUUAAAGUUACAGUUCCAGCGUCAUCACUAAAUAGCAAGAUAUUUACUGAAUAUCUGCCAUGUUCCAAACAUUCAGAAAGGAGUUGUAAUCGAUAAAGAAGAUACCUGUCUACAAGAAGCUUACAGUCUACUGGCCAGAGAUGAGAUGUGUC